UGCAUGAAGUCGGAAUUGCUAGUAAUCGCGGAUCAGCAUGCCGCGGUGAAUACGUUCUCGGGCCUUGUACACACCGCCCGUCACACCAUGGAGUCGGUAACACCCGAAGUGUGUAGCCUGACGCAAGAGGGCGCAGCCGAAGGUGGGAUUGAUGACUGGGGUGAAGUCGUAACAAGGUAGC
rnacentral:rRNA from 1 species